ACAGACCUUUAGCCCUUCAGGCCUUUGGGGGCCAGCCUGAGAGCUGCCCUGUGUCCCCAAGCUGGUCUCCCUCUACAUCAGCUGCCUUGCAUCCCCAUCUAUGAAACGGAGGAGGUGACCCCAUCUGGGGCCCAGGAUCAAAGGCGGGUCAUCAGGCUUGGCAACGGAUGUCUUCACCUGCUGAGCCAUCUCAACAGCCCCAAGGUGGGCGUUUUGGAGUCAGGACUGUGACAGGACCUUCCUGCGACCAAAGCAUUCCCUUGGGAUGCUGUGUCCACAGGGCAUGCAGGCUUCCCGUCAGUCAGGUCUAAGCAUCCAUCUGCUCACCCCACAACCUCCUGCUGCCAGGAGCGUGCUGGCUUUUUCUGCACUGCGCUGCGCUGCUAAGGAAAAAAAGUAACAAGCCUACGGCUCCCCACAGCCACGGCCCCCUCCCUGGGCUCAGGGCAGUCUCAAGAACUCUAGAAUGCUGCAGGCCGGGGACCCUUUGCUAUGGGUGACCCUCUCAUGCAGGCCCUUUGUCAGCUUCCGAAGGGGUAGAGAGCCUCAGCAGAGGACACCGGGACCAGGUAUCUCCCAGGAGCCCGGAGCAGCAGACCACAGCCAGGCCUAGGAGCUCCUUGUUGGGGGUUAGUCCCCACAACUGACUGGUAUUCCUGGGAGGCAAUGAGUCGGAGUCACGUGACCAAGGAAGCACUCCACCAAGCCAGGCAGAGGAAGUGAAGACAUCCCAGAACCAGUGGACUUUUGAGUACAGAGGUCCUCCAGUUGCCAUGGUCAUCCCAUCCAGAUGCUAAACUUUUCAAUCAGUAGACAAAACAGAACAUUUAGUCCUGGAACUUGAGGGAAAGGGCAGAAAGCCCCAAGGCCUGCUACAGACACAAGAGCAGCUGAGCCCACGGUGGACAGGCCCAGAGGACAGUAAAGAUUCCUUACCUUCCUGGGAGUGAGUCGCCCACCUCUCCUAUCCCACCCCCUGUGUAUAGGGCCCUGCCUCAGCCCUGCUUAUGCCCAUGGGUCCUACCUGCCAGGCCUCUCCCUCUAGACAACCCAGACAGCCAACCAGGAAGCAGGAAUGACCAAAAGAGAGAGGGCAGAGGGAAGAAGCCCCCACCUGUGUGUGACCUUUAGAAAACUUCCUCGCACCAGCACAAGAGUCAGCAGGGACCUGAUCAUGGUCAAAGGGCUGGGAACCUGGAAGGCCCUGCCUGGCCCUGCCAGAUCUCUUCCUGGGCCACCUCACCCAGGUCUGCCGGGGGAGGGGCAGUCACAUGAUAACAACAGCACCAAUGUCAGUGAGCGCCCAGCUAUGACGGCCAACACUGCAAGUGUCCCAUGGGCCCCACUGUAAAUACUCUGAGAAGCAGCAGGACACAGGAAGGGACACUGCUGACCAGGAGGCUGAACUAUCACAGGCAGUCAGGGACACGUGCCAGGCCUCCGCUGGCAGGAAGAUCACCUGUGCCCAUGGAGGUUAAGUGAACUUCAGGGCACCUCCGGUUCUGGUCUCCCCAACCCUUGUAAGAAGAUUUACGAUGCCAGGAAGUCCCCGGAGGAAACGCUGGAUGGAAAAUCGAAUCAUAGGAGGGCUAACUGGGCCUGGUGACUGAUGAUAUGAAUAUCUCAAGCAAAAGAAAAAAAAGAUGCAGCUUAAGGUCCUACGACCAUCUCCCGAGCAAGCGGCAACGGUGCUCCAGCAUGUGCACACGAGUGACAAACACAUAAAUAAGCAGAGAACAAGAUUUAAUGGACUGUGUCCUCCAGUAGCACUUCCUAGGACCAGGAAGUGAUGCCUGCCCCGCCCAGGCUGCCAAGGACACCGCUCUCCAUCCUGCUCACAGUGUACUGGUCACCAGGACACUGCAAGACUCAGCCUACAAGCCAACAGCCAGAUACGUGCCAACCACGUCCUUCACAAGGAACCGGAGGGCCUGAUGUGAGACACACAAUUGGAAAGUUCUACACACACACACACACACACACACACAUACACACAGCUACUUGCUCUUCCCCAUGGGCUAGGAGGGCCUGUGUCCCGUUCCUGCAAAGCUCCACCCUCCCACACCCCACUGGAAAAGCUCCAUGGACGGCUUCAUCUCUCCUUAUCCCGUUUCACCUGGCUCCUCUUCCAAGACCACAACUGCUAUUUGAAUUGGUUCUGCUGAGCAUAAGGAAUUAUGCAGAGUUGGUUUUCUCCUUCUUCUUCCCAAGGAUGCCUCUCUCUGUCCUGCUCACAGUAUCCCAAGAGCCCAGAAGCACAGCCGGAUGACCAUGUCCAGGCCACCUGACCCUGGGGCCUCACCUCUGCAGCAUGCAAGCUGAGAUGACAGCGAUGGCAGAGCAGGGGCAUCCUGAUGACUGUGGGGGACACCACAGGUCAAGGCCCAGGACAGAGCUUGGAGCCAGUAGGAGAAGUGACGGGGAAAGCAGCCAGCACAUCUGGAAGCAUUCAGGGACCCAGAAAGCCACCAGAGCUCACACCACUAAUUUCUCCUGAAGCCGACGGGUCUCUUGCCGGGGCCGUGCUGCAGUCCAGCAAACCCCAAGCCCAGCCGUCCUCUGCAGGGAACCUCUGGAGAGCUGUGGGAACCAUUGCACCACUGGCCCGGCCCUGUCGAGCUUCGAAAUUCCUGGAAAUGUGAAUGCCAGCCACAGAUCUGCAGUGCGACCCUGGGUCUCUCCCAGCACAACUGCCCAGCUUCAGACAAGGGGCAGUGCUGGGGACAGCGUCUGUCUGUCCCCACUUCGUAGGGUUUCCCAGCAUCCUAGCACAGGACAGCUGGCGAGCGGUGUGGCGCUCCCAUCUGGUAAUCCUCAGCGACAGAGGGCUGGCAGGGACGUGCAGGAGGGCGAUGCUAACACCUGAGUAUCUGUCUGUACCCUGUCCUGCUUCCCCUGCCUCUGCAAUCAUGAAACUGAGCCAUCACUUGCCCCGUCGAGGGCUACCAAGCCCCAGCCCAGGGCAAGCUGAAAGGAGAACCAAAGCUGUCCUGGGGAAUUCUUCCUGGGCUCCAUGCCAAUGCUGUGUGCUUUGAUCUCAGGCGAAUCUUCCCCUCCGGGACCUUCACACCCCCAUGGCAUGCACCCUCUGCUACCACAGCAGGCGGAAGCACAGAGAACCAAGCAUGCGUGGAUGAGCGGGAGAGCCCAGAGCCAAGAGAGCUGGGAAACUGGAGAGUCUAGGAUACAUGGAAACAGAAAAUAAGGCAAGAGAGUGGGGAGCAGUAGGGGGAAAUGAUAUGAGGAUGAGCACAUUAACGUUCUUCAAAGUGGCCAAUCCCCACAUUUCCCUUAGCCAGACUGGGGUCUACCCGCAGGCCCCUGCGCACCCUACUCUGUGGUUCAUGUAUAUUUCUGAACCCAUUUCCACAUCUGCAAAAUGGGGCUAGCCGAGGUUCUCUUCCUAGGGACUGCCUGGAAAGACGCUCAGAGGGAUGCAGGCCACCUUGUGGCCAUCCUCGUUUUUUUUUACAGACAGGGACCCUGAGAAGCAGUGACUCUCAAAGGUCACUGCACAGAUGCUGUCAUGGAAAGGAAACACUUCCUGGAGAGCAGGAAGUACAGCCAGAAGAAGGUGGCCUUUCCAGGCUCUUCUGGGGACACCGGUGCUGUCCACUCCUGCUCGACCAGCCCCUGCUCGACCAGCCCCGCUCCAGGAUCUUGCUGGCUUUCCACGGGGUGGAACCAUUUGUCACCAUCUGCAAUAGCCUCCUCAGUCAGCAGGGAGUGCCCACAGGGGCAUGUGGAAAGACGCCUAUGCACAGGACCUGAAAUCCACAGCACAAUCUCUCCUCUGAAGGGCCUCUGAAGGGCCAGCAGCCUCUGGGUGACAGUCAGGACUCAGCUGGCACCAACAUCCAGACUCUGUCUAAUGAACCUUAUCCCCUCCUGUAAUGUGCUUUUAAGGGUGACACGGGGUGCUGGGAGGAGUGCUGGAGAGAUGGCUCAAUGGUUAGGAGCACUGUCCACUCUCCCAAAAGAUGCGGGUUCAAUUCCCAACACCCACAUAGCAGCUCACAACUGUCUGAAAUGCCAAUUCCCAAUUCCAAGGGAUCUGUCACCUUCACACUAAUACACAUAUAAUAAAAUUAAAUAAAUUAUUUUUUUAAAAAAAAAAGGGUGACACAGAGAAUCUAAGCUCAGGGCUCUACAGAAAGGCAAACUUCCAGGGGCUGGUGAGGUGGCUCAGUCAGUAAAGCGCUUGCCUUGCAAGCUUGAGGACCCAAGUUCAACCCCCAGGACCCACAUAAGAAGCUGUCCUAGCAGCACACGUGUAAUCCCAGUUCUGUGGGGACUGCCUGACUCGCUCAGCAAGCUCCGGGCCUAUGAGAGACACUGUCACAGUGGAGACCAUGAGCUACAGGAGACUGGAGAUAUGGCUUGCCAACAACUAAGAAACAUACUGCUCUUGCAGAGGACCCGAGUUCAGUUUCCAGCACCCACACCAGGCAGCCAGCAAGGUCUCUAGGGAGACCCCAUGCCUUUGGCUGCCAGGGGGUGCCCACAUUCCCGUGUGCACAGGAGUGACUCCAAAGCAGUUAGGGCAGAGUCAAAUACGUGUGGCUGGGAAGCUCAAGAGGGAGUAGCCGGAGUCUCAUAGUGUCCAACCAUGCUUCCCACCCCUCCUUCUCAGGAGGGAACAUCAGCUGCCAAUCAGCCCAAUCUGAGUGUCUCUUGCAAGUGGUCACAGCUGUGCUGAUGACAUCUGUUAUGCUCGGAGGGAAGGAUUCCGCAACAGGCUCCUGUUGGUCUGCUCCGGCCUCUGACAGCCAGCGAUCGCUCAGGGACCCAGGGCAAGGGGGAGAAACCUGAAGCGGUGUGGUGUGAGCUCAAGGCCCAGCGGCCCUAGCCCAGUGUCCAGAGGCUUGCUAUGCACGGGGAGGGGUUCAAAGGUGCUGCAGUGGGGGUGGAGAAGGGUCUGCCUCCGUGUGGCUGGUUUAAUGAUGGGCAGUGUCCUCUCAACAAACAGGCUGAACCAUUUUCUCUGGAGUUGGCCCUUUGCACUGUGUAUGCAUAUGCACAUAUACAGACGUGUGCGUGUGCGUGUGCGUGCAUGUGCGCGUGUGUGGUUGUCUUGCCUCGGGCGUCAUCCACCUCUGAUUUGUUUUAGUAAAAACAAAUUUUCAUUAGUUAUA